UACGUAGGUGACAAGCGUUAUCCGGAUUUAUUGGGCGUAAAGCGCACGCAGGCGGCUGAUUAAGUCUGACGUGAAAUCUCUCGGCUUAACCGGGAGCGGUCGUUGGAAACUAAUUGGCUUGAGGCGAUGAGAGGGGUGUGGAAUUCCCGGUGUAGUGGUGGAAUGCGUAGAUAUCGGGGGGAACGCCCGCGGCGAAAGCGAGCGCCUGGACCCUUUCUGACGCUGAGACGCGAAAGCCAGGGGAGCGAACGGG
rnacentral:rRNA from 1 species